CCGAUUUGUUUCCCUUCAACCAGAUUUUCAUUGGAAAUCUAAAAUGAAAAUUCUUCAAUGCUUUUCUUAUGCACAAAACACAUCGUUAAUAUUUUUGGAAAGAGUGUAAAACACAAAAAUUAAACAGAUAUACGAAAAUUUGAGGUGUUCAAGUCACAUUUGUGAUGGCCGCAUAAAAGUUAUGCUUCUUCUUAAACUCUCCGCCGUAGCUUGGAUAGGUCUAGGCUAGGUUAGGUCGCUUGAUAGGGAUGUGGCAAAAUCUCAGAUUAUGGAGAGUGAUUACCUUGUAAUAUGUCGACACUGGAAUUCGAUUAAGUGUAUCAAAAUUUGUUGUAUUGUGUAUGUAAGCAGAUAUAUAUAAAAAUAAUGAGAAUAA